AAAAAUUUAAAUUAAUUUACUAAAAAAUUAAUAGUUAUGUUCUUUAAAUUUAAAAAAUUUGGCGGUAUUUUAGUCUUAUUAGAGGAAUCUGUUUAUUAAUUGAUAAUCCACGAUUAAUUUUACUUAUUUUAAUUAAUUCAUAUAUCGCUGUCAUGAAUAUAUUUUAAAAAAUUUAUUUUCUUUAAUUAUUUUAAUAAUUUAUGUUAAGUCAAGAUGUGGUUUAUAAAUAAGAAUAUAAUGGAUUACAUUAAGUUUUAUUUUUGGAUUUUGAAUGAAAAUUAAAAUGAAAUUGGAUUUAAUAGUAAGUUUAAUUAUUUUAUUAAUAUGAAUAAAGAUCUA
rnacentral:rRNA from 1 species